UGGGGAAUAUUGCGCAAUGGGCGAAAGCCUGACGCAGCCAUGCCGCGUGUGUGAAGAAGGCCUUCGGGUUGUAAAGCACUUUCACUGGGGAAGAAAGGUUCAGGCCUAAUACGUUUGAGCUGUGACAUUACCUAGAGAAGAAGCACCGGCUAACUCCGUGCCAGCAGCCGCGGUAAUACGGAGGGUGCGAGCGUUAAUCGGAAUUACUGGGCGUAAAGCGCGCGUAGGCGGUUUGUUAAGUCGGAUGUGAAAGCCCCGGGCUCAACCUGGGAACUGCACCCGAUACUGGCCGACUGGAGUGCGAGAGAGGGAGGUAGAAUUCCACGUGUAGCGGUGAAAUGCGUAGAUAUGUGGAGGAAUACCGGUGGCGAAGGCGGCCUCCUGGCUCGACACUGACGCUGAGGUGCGAAAGCGUGGGGAGCAAACAGGAUUAGAUACCCGCGUAGUCC
rnacentral:rRNA from 1 species